CCAAUAUAUAUUCCUCUUUCCACUCAGAAUCUAAAACAAAAUCAAUAAUUUUCAAUCCGAAUAUUACCACGGUGACGAGAUGAAAUAAUUUGCAUUUUAUAAAAAGACAAAUCGAUUUGUUUCGUUUCUAUAGACGGUGAUGUUUAUAAUUGGUUACUUUAGGGAUAGCUAAUUAGUUUUUUCUGAACCCAUUUACCUAUAUGCAUAAUUACACCUAUGCGACUGUUCUGUGAAAACGUUUAAAAAGAGGGAAAAUGUA